AGGUGUUCCAUACGAAAGUAUAAAGCAUUGCACCAGCACAAGGAGGGCACUGCAUUUUGGCUCAUUUUCAGUCAGCUCAACCAUCGAGUGCCACCAGAGACACGGGUGGGAGCACCUUUCACAACACAGACAAGACUACGGAUCGUAACGACCAUGGCCGUCUUGCUUCGUCCUUCUCUUCUUGCUGUGUUUUUAAUAGUUCGCUGUGAAGGCACAUUUUUCAAUGACAAAAACAAAGUUACUUUGUUAAAGACAGACUGGAUGAAGACUUUGGAUGAAAGCAAGGCUUUGUCAGCACUGACUAUUCCCGGAACCCACGACAGCAUGUCCUCCUCACACCAAGCUUUGUCACUGCACUUCCAGCUCGAUGCAGGGGUGCGAUACUUUGAAAUGAAAGCCAGUAGUCCCCUUCUGUUUAACAGAAAAAAGAUUGAGAU